GGUCGGGGUCUAGGCAACGUCACGCGGAUGAACCCCGCUAGAUCCGGAAGGAAGCAACGGCAAUCGCGCCUCUGACGGGUGCUUUGGGUGUUUUCAUUAAA
rnacentral:SRP_RNA from 1 species